AUGCUUCGCUGGUGGGGAGACACCAGGAUCAUGAGAUGGUUUUACGAUGAUGAGUCUUAUACCUUGCACCCUAGUGUGCUGACUCCCACAAUUUUUUCAAAUUUAGGAAUCCUGGAUGCUUACUUUGUGAUAGUUGGGACUGUGUUAAUGUUCUUCCUUG
ensembl:snRNA U1 U1 spliceosomal RNA